GGGAGUAGCUUGCUACUCUGCCGGCGAGCGGCGGACGGGUGAGUAAAGUCUGGGGAUCUGGCUUAUGGAGGGGGAUAACCAUUGGAAACGGUGGCUAAUACCGCAUGAUGUCGCAAGACCAAAGUGGGGGACUUUAGGGCCUCACGCCAUAAGAUGAACCCAGAUGAGAUUAGCUAGUAGGUGCGGUAAUGGCGUACCUAGGCGACGAUCUCUAGCUGGUCUGAGAGGAUGACCAGCCACACUGGAACUGAGAGACGGUCCAGACUCCUACGGGAGGCAGCAGUGGGGAAUAUUGCACAAUGGGCGGAAGCCUGAUGCAGCCAUGCCGCGUGUGUGAAGAAGGCCUUAGGGUUGUAAAGCACUUUCAGCGGGGAGGAAGGCGGUAAGAGUAAUAUGCUUAUCGAUUGACGUUACCCGCAAAAGAAGCACCGGCUAACUCCGUGCCAGCAGCCGCGGUAAUACGGAGGGUGCGAGCGUUAAUCGGAAUAACUGGGCGUAAAGGGCAUGUAGGCGGUAAGUUAAGUCAGAUGUGAAAUCCCCGAGCUUAACUUGGGAACGGCAUUUGAGACUGGCUGGCUAGAGUUUUGUAGAGGGGGGUAGAAUUCCAGGUGUAGCGGUGAAAUGCGUAGAGAUCUGGAGGAAUACCGGUNGCGAAGGCGGCCCCCUGGACAAGGACUGACGCUGAGGUGCGAAAGCGUGGGUAGCAAACAGGAUUAGAUACCCUGGUAGUCCACGCUGUAAACGAUGUCGAUUUGGAGGUUGUGGCCUAGUGUUAUGGCGUCCGAAGCUAACGCGAUAAAUCGACCGCCUGGGGAGUACGGCCGCAAGGUUAAAACUCAAAUGAAUUGACGGGGGCCCGCACAAGCGGUGNNCAUGUGGUUAAUUCGAUGCAACGCGAAGAACCUUACCUACUUC
rnacentral:rRNA from 1 species